rnacentral:rRNA from 1 species
AAUAGAUACCCCGGUAGUCCACGCCGUAAACGAUGUCGACUUGGAGGUUGUGCCCUUGAGGCGUGGCUUCCGGAGCUAACGCGUUAAGUCGACCGCCUGGGGGAGUACGGCCGCAAGGUUAAAACUCAAAUGAAUUGACGGGGGCCCGCACAAGCGGUGGAGCAUGUGGUUUAAUUCGAUGCAACGCGAAGAACCUUACCUACUCUUGACAUCCAGAGAACUUGCCAGAGAUGGCUUGGUGCCUUCGGGAACUCUGAGACAGGUGCUGCAUGGCUGUCGUCAGCUCGUGUUGUGAAAUGUUGGGUUAAGUCCCGCAACGAGCGCAACCCUUAUCCUUUGUUGCCAGCGGUUAGGCCGGGAACUCAAAGGAGACUGCCAGUGAUAAACUGGAGGAAGGUGGGGAUGACGUCAAGUCAUCAUGGCCCUUACGAGUAGGGCUACACACGUGCUACAAUGGCGCAUACAAAGAGAAGCGACCUCGCGAGAGCAAGCGGACCUCAUAAAGUGCGUCGUAGUCCGGA